AGAGUUUGAUCCUGGCUCAGGAUGAACGCUAGCGACAGGCUUAACACAUGCAAGUCGAGGGGCAGCACGGGGUAGCAAUACCCCGGUGGCGACCGGCGCACGGGUGAGUAACACGUGUGCAACCAACCCCGUACCGGGAGAUAACCCGCGGAAACGUGGACUAACAUCCCAUAACACUGGAAGCCCGCAUGGGCAUCCAUUUAAAACCCCGGUGGUACGGGACGGGCACGCGCGACAUUAGGUAGUUGGCGGGGUAACGGCCCACCAAGCCGACGAUGUCUAGGGGUUCUGAGAGGAAGGUCCCCCACACUGGAACUGAGACACGGUCCAGACUCCUACGGGAGGCAGCAGUGAGGAAUAUUGGUCAAUGGGCGAGAGCCUGAACCAGCCAAGUCGCGUGAGGGAAGAAUGGUCUAUGGCCUGUAAACCUCUUUUGUCAAGGAAGAAUAAGCGGCACGAGUGCCACCUUGCCAGUACUUGACGAAUAAGCAUCGGCUAACUCCGUGCCAGCAGCCGCGGUAAUACGGGGGAUGCGAGCGUUAUCCGGAUUUAUUGGGUUUAAAGGGCGCGUAGGCGGGACGGCAAGUCAGCGGUAAAAGACUGCAGCUAAACUGUAGCACGCCGUUGAAACUGGCGCCCUCGAGACGAGACGAGGGAGGCGGAACAAGUGAAGUAGCGGUGAAAUGCAUAGAUAUCACUUGGAACCCCGAUAGCGAAGGCAGCUUCCCAGGCUCGGUCUGACGCUGAUGCGCGAGAGCGUGGGUAGCGAACAGGAUUAGAUACCCUGGUAGUCCACGCCGUAAACGAUGCUCACUGGAUCUUGGCGAUACACGGCCAGGGUUCAAGCGAAAGUAUUAAGUGAGCCACCUGGGGAGUACGUCGGCAACGAUGAAACUCAAAGGAAUUGACGGGGGCCCGCACAAGCGGAGGAACAUGUG
rnacentral:rRNA from 1 species